rnacentral:rRNA from 1 species
AGUGGCGAAAGGGUGCGUAACACGUGGGUAAUUUGCCGUAAGGUUCGGGAUAACCUGCCGAAAGGUAGGCUAAUACCGAAUGUGACUUUCGAGGGGCAUCCCUUGAAAUUCAAAGUUGGGGACCGAAAGGCCUGACGCUUUACGAUAAGCCCGCGGCCUAUCAGCUUGUUGGUGAGGUAAUGGCUCACCAAGGCUUAGACGGGUAGCUGGUCUGAGAGGACGAUCAGCCACACUGGAACUGAGACACGGUCCAGACACCUACGGGUGGCAGCAGUCGAGAAUCUUUCACAAUGGGCGAAAGCCUGAUGGAGCGACGCCGCGUGGGGGAUGACGGGCUUCGGUCUGUAAACCCCUGUCAUCUGUGAACAAACCUCUUUGUUGAAUAGGCAAAGAGCUGAUAGUAGCAGAAGAGGAAGGGACGGCUAACUCUGUGCCAGCAGCCGCGGUAAUACAGAGGUCCCAAGCGUUGUUCGGAUUCACUGGGCGUAAAGGGUGCGUAGGUGGCAAGGUAAGUUCGGUGUGAAAUCUCCGGGCUCAACCCGGAAACUGCAUUGAAAACUAUCUUGCUCGAGGGUCGGAAGGGAGACUGGAAUUCUCGGUGUAGCAGUGAAAUGCGUAGAUAUCGAGAGGAACACCAGUGGCGAAGGCGAGUCUCUGGACGACACCUGACACUGAGGCACGAAAGCUAGGGGAGCAAACAGGAUUAGAUACCCUGGUAGUCCUAGCCGUAAACGGUGCACACUUGCUGUGAGAGGAUUCGACCCCUUUCGUGGCGAAGCUAACGCGUUAA